rnacentral:lncRNA from 1 species
UCUUUAUUGAGAUUAUAUGGGUCAACACUUACAAAAUGCUGGGUUUGUUACGUACAAGAAAAAUGUGAUUACACUUCGCCCGACAUUUUGACCAUCUGCAGAAAACAUCAUGUCGAAGCUGCUUCUUGUCAUCCUCUUCCUUUUCAUGGCUGACUGUGGCCAUGUCUCUUCCUUCUCCCUCCUCCUUCGCUGCCUCGAGACAUCACCUUCUUCUUCAUCGCCUCCCUCAGCCUCUCAACUCAAAUCAUCGCUGCCAAAC